rnacentral:lncRNA from 10 species
GGAAGGAGCCCAGAGACUCUUGUGGACAGAGCCGGGUCGAGAGUUGGGCGUUUUCUCUUCGUGUGUUUUGGUGGUUUCCCCCCUGGUCUUUGACGAUCGCCCUUCGGGAGCCCUGCUAAAGAACCAAACCAUGAACUUGGGGCUGACCGGACCGUUUAACCCUUUGCAACCAGGCAUCAGAUGCCAGCUCUGAAAAACUCUUCAACACUGUUAUUGUAAACAAAGAGUCUCGCUUUGUCGCCCAGGCUGGAGUGCAUUGGCGUGAUCUUGGCUCACUGCAAGCUCCACCUCC